rnacentral:rRNA from 1 species
UGUUUAACGGCCGCGGUAUUUUAACCGCGCGAAGGUAGCGUAAUCACUUGUCUUUUAAAUGGAGACCUGUAUGAAUGGCAUAACGAGGGUCUGACUGUCUCCUACACCUAGUCAAUGAAAUUGAUCUGCCCGUGCAGAAGCGGGCAUACCUACAUAAGACGAGAAGACCCUAUGGAGCUUUAGGUAAAUGAUCAAGCGAAACAAGUCACGGCCAUAGUAAAGGCCUAGAAAAACAAGAACUAAUGAUCAAGAUGCCUUCGGUUGGGGCGACCAUGGAGGAAACAAAAGCCUCCAAGUGGAAAGGGAAAACCCUUGAACUAAGAGAGACACCUCGAAGUAACAGAAUUUGUGACCAAAUAUGACCCAGGAUUUUAACCUGAUCAACGAACCCAGUUACCCUAGGGAUAACAGCGCAAUCCUCUCCCAGAGUCCCUAUCGACGAGGGGGUUUACGACCUCGAUGUUGGAUCAGGGCAUCCUAAUGGUGCAGCCGCUAUUAAGGGUUCGUUUGUUCAACGAUUAACA